CUUCGGGACUGAAGCAGGCCAGACAAAGAGCUAGCUAUAAGCGAUGCAAAUAUGUCAGGUGGAAAGCACAGCAAAUAUUGAUAACGUAAGCUUUAACCUAUGGCUAUGGCCAACUGAUAAGGCUUCAACAACAUGACGGAGGUUGGUAAUAUUUCCCGUGUGCGGUGCGAACGAUGCGAAAGACGAAAAGGAACUGACUAAAA